GUGGGGAAUAUUGGGCAAUGGGCGAAAGCCUGACCCAGCAACGCCGCGUGAAGGAAGAAGGUUUUCGGAUUGUAAACUUCUGUCCUCAGGGAAGAAGAAAGUGACGGUACCUGAGGAGGAAGCCCCGGCUAACUACGUGCCAGCAGCCGCGGUAAUACGUAGGGGGCGAGCGUUGUCCGGAAUGACUGGGCGUAAAGGGCGCGUAGACGGCUGUCUAAGUCUGGAGUGAAAGUCCUGCUUUCAAGGUGGGAAUUGCUUUGGAGACUGGAUGGCUUGAGUGCGGAAGAGGUAAGUGGAAUUCCCAGUGUAGCGGUGAAAUGCGUAGAGAUUGGGAGGAACACCAGUGGCGAAGGCGACUUACUGGGCCGUAACUGACGUUGAUGCGCGAAAGCGUGGGGAGCGAACAGGAUUAGAAACCCUAGUAGUCC
rnacentral:rRNA from 1 species